rnacentral:rRNA from 1 species
GUGGGGAAUAUUGGGCAAUGGGGGAAACCCUGACCCAGCGACGCCGCGUGAGGGAAGAAGGCCUUAGGGUCGUAAACCUCUGUUGUGUGGGAAGAAGAGCGUGACGGUACCACACGAGGAAGUCCCGGCUAACUACGUGCCAGCAGCCGCGGUAAUACGUAGGGGACGAGCGUUGUCCGGAUUUACUGGGCGUAAAGGGCGCGUAGGCGGUCAUUUAAGUCAGCUGUGAAAUGGUUUGGCUUAACCGGAUCAUGCGGUUGAAACUGGAUGACUGGAGUGCUGGAGAGGCAAGUGGAAUUCCCAGUGUAGCGGUGAAAUGCGUAGAUAUGGGGAAGAACACCGGUGGCGAAGGCGACUUGCUGGCCAGCAACUGACGCUGAGGCGCGAAAGCCAGGGGAGCAAACGGGAUUAGAAACCCCAGUAGUCC